rnacentral:rRNA from 1 species
CGUGUAGGCGGCUUCGUGUGUCUGGCGUGAAAGCCCCGGGCUUACCCCGGGAAGUGCGUUGGAAACUGCGGAGCUAGAGUCCCGGAGAGGGAGGUGGAAUUCCAGGUGUAGCGGUGAAAUGCGUAGAUAUCUGGAAGAACACCGGUGGCGAAGGCGGCCUCCUGGACGGUGACUGACGCUGAGACGCGAAAGCGUGGGGAGCAAACAGGAUUAGAUACCCUGGUAGUCCACGCCAUAAACGAUGGGCACUAGGUGUCGCGGGUAUUGACCCCUGCGGUGCCGCAGCUAACGCAUUAAGUGCCCCGCCUGGGGAAUACGGCCGCAAGGUUAAA